AGAGUUUGAUCCUGGCUCAGGACGAACGCUGGCGGCGCGCCUAACACAUGCAAGUCGAACGGAAUGCGGAGAGGAUUUAUCUUUUCUGUGUUUAGUGGCGAACGGGUGAGUAACGCGUGAGGAACCUGCCUCAAAGAGGGGGACAACAGUUGGAAACGACUGCUAAUACCGCAUAAGCCCACGGGGCCGCAUGGCCCUGAGGGAAAAGGAGCAAUCCGCUUUGAGAUGGCCUCGCGUCCGAUUAGCUGGUUGGUGAGGUAACGGCCCACCAAGGCGACGAUCGGUAGCCGGACUGAGAGGUUGAACGGCCACAUUGGGACUGAGACACGGCCCAGACUCCUACGGGAGGCAGCAGUGGGGAAUAUUGCACAAUGGGGGAAACCCUGAUGCAGCGACGCCGCGUGGAGGAAGAAGGUCUUCGGAUUGUAAACUCCUGUUGUUGGGGAAAAGAAGGAUGGUACCCAACAAGGAAGUGACGGCUAACUACGUGCCAGCAGCCGCGGUAAAACGUAGGUCACGAGCGUUGUCCGGAAUUACUGGGUGUAAAGGGAGCGCAGGCGGGUAUGCAAGUUGGGAGUGAAAUACAUGGGCUCAACCCAUGAACUGCUCUCAAAACUGUGUAUCUUGAGUAGUGCAGAGGUAGGCGGAAUUCCCGGUGUAGCGGUGGAAUGCGUAGAUAUCGGGAGGAACACCAGUGGCGAAGGCGGCCUACUGGGCACCAACUGACGCUGAGGCUCGAAAGUGUGGGUAGCAAACAGGAUUAGAUACCCUGGUAGUCCACACCGUAAACGAUGAUUACUAGGUGUUGGAGGAUAGACCCCUUCAGUGCCGCAGUUAACACAAUAAGUAAUCCACCUGGGGAGUACGACCGCAAGGUUGAAACUCAAAGGAAUUGACGGGGGCCCGCAC
rnacentral:rRNA from 1 species